rnacentral:lncRNA from 1 species
UGGACCUGCCCCCAGACGGGAAGCGUGGAGUGCGGACCGGCCCACAGCCAGGAAGCAUCCCAUGAAUGAACAACUGGGUGCCGUUCUCUCCCUGCAAAUUAGUCUCCUUCUGGUUGGGCACUGGACCAUCCAGAAUUGCCCCCCAGAAUGAGUUUGGAAUCAGCAGGUGUCCCAAGCAGCCGGGUAGCGGCCCGAUUUCCUCCCUUAGGCCUGGGGCCCAGCCCUGCCCUCCACACCUUUUCCAGGUCCUGCUCCUGCAAUGCCAAGGCCAGCUCAUUGUUGUCAAUGACGGAGGCAGCAGCCACGUCCAGGGGCGUGGAGCCCUGCAUGCCUGCAGGGGCGAGAGCAGGUAGCUCAGGUGGUCAAACAUGGAGCGCUGGUUCUGCCGGCUGAUUCGGCAGAAAUAGCAGAGGAAGCGGCAGCAGCUUGUCACCAUCUUGGGGAAGCGGAUCUCCUGGGACAGGCAGGGUGGUCAGGGCCUGCCCUCUGUGGCUGCCUCCCCUGAGCUCCCCAGCACCUGCCUGGGCCCUCACCUUGGACUCGCCGCCCCCGAGGACGUUGACCAUGACCUCCAUGACCGUCUCGUGCAUGCCCAGCGCCCUCAUCAGGUUCGGGUGUUGGUAGAAGACUUUGUUGUUCAUGAUGUUCCUGUGCACGGGCAGAGUGUGCGGGGUCACCAGGGGCCCAGGUCCGGAGAGGGCCAUAGCCACCACUGUGACAGCGUUGGCAUUCUUGACCCUCUCACUCUGUGCCUAGCACCACCGCCUUUACAGAUCUGAACUCACUCAAUUCCUACAGCUGGCCGGGUGCGGUGGCUCAUGCGUGUAAUCCCAGCACUUUGGGAGGCCGAAGCUAGAGGAUCACUUGAGGUCAGGAGAUCGAGAUCAGCCUGGCCAACAUGGUGAAACCCCAUUUCUACUAAAAAUACAAAAAUUAGCCAGGCGUGGUGGCGCAUACCCGUAAUCCCAGCUACGCAGGAGGCUGAGGUGGGAGAAUCGCUUGAACCCGGUAUGCGGAGGUUGCAGUGAGCAGACAUUGCGCACUCCAGGCUUGGCAACAGAGCAAGACUCCAUCUCAAAAAAUAAAAAAAAAAAAUUCCUACAGCCACUGUGGGAGGAAGGGUCCCUGUUUCCCUCAUAAGGAGACUGAGGCGUGCACCCAAGGCAGGCUCCUCUAGGGCAGAGAUCUUUGCCAUGUUGCCCUUUGUCAAAUGUUGUCCCAGCAUGGUGGCUUUUGCCUUGUAAUUCCAGCCCUUUGGGAGGCCAAGGCAGGAGGAUCACUUGAGCCCAGGAGUCCAAGACCAGCCUGGGCAACAUAGCAAGACCCUACCUCUACAAAAAAAUUUACAAAUUAGCUGGGUAUGGUGGUGUGUGUCUGUAGUCCCAGCUACUCAGGAGACUGAGGCAGGAG